GCCGCGAUGGUGGAAUUGGCAGACACGCACGACUCAAAAUCGUGUCCCGUUUUCGGGGUGAGGGUUCAACUCCCUCUCGCGGCACCA
rnacentral:tRNA from 1 species